AUUGAACGCUGGCGGCAAGCCUAACACAUGCAAGUCGAACGAGUGGCGGACGGGUGAGUAAUGUCUGGGAAACUGCCUGAUGGAGGGGGAUAACUACUGGAAACGGUAGCUAAUACCGCAUACCAUCGGAUGUUCCCAUAUGGGAUUAGCUAGUUGGUGGGGUAAAGGGUAACCUAGGCGACGAUCCCUAGCUGGUCUGAGAGGAUGACCAGCCAAACGGGAACUGAGACACGGGCAAGCCUCCGACGGGAGGCAGAAGUGGGGAAGAUUGCACAAUGGGCGCGAGCCUGAUGCAGCCAUGCCGCGUGUAUGAAGAAGGCAUGCGGGUUGUAAAGUACUUUCAGCGGGGAGGGGUUACCCGCAGAAGAAGCACCGGCUAACUCCGUGCCAGCAGCCGCGGUAAUUC
rnacentral:rRNA from 1 species